rnacentral:rRNA from 1 species
GACGAACGCUGGCGGCGUGCCUAAUACAUGCAAGUAGAACGCAGUUGCGAACGGGUGAUUAACGCGUAGGUAACUGCCUCAUAGCGGGGGAUAACUAUUGGAAACGAUAGCUAAUACCGCAUCCUGUGCGAUGGACCUGCGUUGUAUUAGCUAUUUGGGGAGGUAAAGGCUAACCACGGCGUGGAUACAUAGCCGACCUGAGAGGGGGAUCGGCCACACUGGGAGUGAGACACGGCCCAGACUCCUACGGGAGGCAGCAGUAGGGAAUCUUCGGCAAUGGACGAAAGUCUGACCGGGCAACGCCGCGGGAGUGAAGAAGGUUUUCGGAUCGUAAAACUCUGGUGUUAGAGAAGCGGUAUCUAACCAGAAAGCCACGGCUAACUACGUGCCAGCAGCCGCGGUAAUUC